rnacentral:siRNA from 1 species
ACUGUCUGCUUCGGUACAGGAUGG